GGGCAAGUACCAGCACCUCAGCCUAGUCGGUGCAGGUGAUAGUUAUGAAGCUAAGUCCUAGGCCAGGAACAAGGCAGCCAGUCCAGCCAGCAUAGUUGACCCCUCUAUGGACUGGGGCCAGUGCAGCCACAGCAUUCCAGUGCUCAGCCCCUCAGCUGGGAGAUCAGCGACUGCUGCCACGUGCCCAGAAAUGGCUCGUCCUUUCACUACAGCGGAAUGCAAUGAGGGUGGGUGAGAAGAUGAUGGGUCGGUUAUUUCAUUCCUUUUCUUUUUACAACUUCACUUUCAGAGACUUCAGCGUUCCAUGUCUGCUGUGCUGUGGAACCCAGAGUGCUCUUGCCUGGAUGGCUGAGAAUCCCUUGGACCCUGGAAGCACCUACUCCAUGAUGGCCCGGUAUAGUGCAGGCUCAAUAUAAUCUUCCCGGUAUCUUGACAGGAGGACCAAACUGGAGACAGUCCUGGCUCUGAGGAAACAGGAAGGAAGGAGGGUGAAAGGAACGUCCACCUGCACACAAAGGAAAGAUGAAAAAGAGUCACCUACCAUGGGACCUGGCAAAGUACUUCAGAACUUUUAUUCCUUCCAGAAGCAGGUAAGUACCCCAAGUCCUCAUCGUAUUCCCAGCAUAGGGCUUGGUAUACGGGGGGAUAUUUCAUUCAGCAUAUUGGCUGAAUGAAAGGUCUGAUAGGUAUACCUGGGAGAAGGUCCUUAGGGACAUGGCUUAAAAAAUGAGAGAGGGGCAGGGCAGUGAGUCUAAAAGGAUGUGGAUGCUCACAUCUGCUCUUACAAUCAUGCUACAGUUCAUUUAUUGAGUGGAAACAGUUCCCUACUUAUUGACAAUUCAUUUACUGAAUAGGUAAUCAGUAAAUACAUUUUGUAUCAAUCUAACAAUUAGGCAUAAACUACAGCCUCCUACACCCAAUAUCUGAGGUGUUCUAAGAUUUAACUACUCAAAUGUUUGAUAUUUGAUAAAUUGUUUAAGUUCUCUGCAAUUCAGUUCCACCUCCUAUAACAGCACUUCUGAAAAUGUGGUCUGUGAACCUCUGAGGGGUUCCUGAGACACUGUCAGGGAGCAAGUGAGACAUGGCUAUUUUUAUAAUAUUAAACUAUUAGCCUUUGUCACUGUGUUGUCAUUUACCUAGGAUAGGUACAACUGCUGGCACCUGAGCACAGAUCAAGGCACUGACCCUAAGCUCUACUAGUUGUUAUUGCAUUUUUCACCACUGUACACUCAUAAUUUAGGAGAAAAGAGCAAAAACUCUAGAUUGCAUGUAACAAUAUCCCUUGAUGAAGCAGUAAAAAAUUAUUAAUGUUGUUAAAUCUUAAUCAUUGAGUACAUGUGUUAAGUCCUCAUAAGACACUUUUGGUUGUCUCAAAGAAAUCUAUCUGUGUUGUUUGAGUUGUGAAUUACACUAGCUGCUUUGUUCAUGGAAUACCAGUUUUAUUUGAAAAAAAUUACUAGGCCAGGCAUGGUGGCUCAUGCCUGUAAUCCCUCACUUUGGGAGGCAGAGGUAGGAGGAUCGCAUCAGCCCAGGAGUUCAAGACCAGCCUGGGCAACACAGGGGAGACCCCAUCUCUACAAAACAUAAAAAAUUAUCCAGGUGUGAUGGCACACGCCUAUAGUCCCAGUUACUCGGAAGGCUGAGGACUGCUUGAGGCCGGGAGGAUGAGGCUGCAGUGAGCCAUGACCAUGCCACUGCACUCCAGCAGUGGUGCUGCGCAACAGAGCAGGACCCUGUCUUUAAAAAACUCUAUGAAAAUUUAAAAAAAGAAAAAAGUGACUGACAAACUAUGGCUUUUCAGACUUAGGUAUCUGGCAGACAUCUUCUUGAAAAUGCAUGAAGUGAACGCCUGUCAUGUCAAGGAAAACAAAAGUCAGUAUCUGUUGCCAAUAGUAAAAUUCAGGCUUUCAAACAAAUAUUAGCAUUUCAGAGAAGCGGCAUUCACAACUGUGAGCUUGAAACUUCCCAAAAUUCCAAGUUUUUUGAUUAUUAGUGAUACUAACAAAUGUAAUUUUUAAAAUAUUUAUGGCCGGGCGUGGUGGCUCAUGCCUGUAAUCCCAGCACUUUGGGAGGCCAAGGCGGGCAGAUCACGAGGUCAAGAGAUUGAGUCCAUCCUGGACAACAUGGGGAAACCCUCUCUACUAAAAAUACAAAAAUUAGUUGGGCGUGGUGGCGUGCACCUGUAGUCGCAGCUACUUGGGAUGCUGAGGCAGGAGAAUCGCUUGAACCCGGUAGGUGGAGGUUGCAGUGAGCCAAGAACGCACCACUGCACUCCAGCCUGGCGACAGAGCGAGACUCUGUCUCAAAAAAAAAAAAAAAUUAAAUUUAUAAUAAUAUUUAACAACAUUUGGAGGCUGUCGAUAGGCCAGUGCACCAAUAUUUUCUAAAUGACCAAAGUAUGAUGUUAUAAAAGGAUGCAUGGGUGAAAGAUCCAUUCAGAAGAGACCAAUGGGUUUUAGUGUUAACAGUAUGAAACGUUCACUGACCUUUCAGAUUCCACACUGCAACUAACUUUUAAGAACCUGCCAGGAGCAGUGGCUCACACCUGUAAUCCCAGCACUUUGGGAGGUUGAGGCAAAAGAAAUCGCUUGAGCCCAGGAGUUUGAGACUACCUGGGCAAGAUGGCAAGACCCCAUUUCUACAAAUAGCCAUGCAUGCCUGUAGUCCCAGCUACUCGGGAGGUGCUUGGUCAACAAAGCAAGACAUCAUCUCUUAAAACAAACAAACAAACAAAAAAAGUUGUUACUUCCAUUGAGUUUUGGUGGAUAUCAGAGAAUAAUAAACACAAUUACCUGAAAGACUAUUAAAAUACCUCCCUUGGCUGGGAGUGGUGGCUCACAGAUGUAAUCCCAGCACUUUGGGAGGCCGAGGUAGGCGGAUUGCUUGAGCCCAGUUUUGAGACCAGCCUGGGCAACAAGGCAAAACUCCAUCUCUACAAAAAAUUAAAAAAUUAGCUGGGCGCCAGUGACAAGGGCCUGUAGUCCCAGCUACUUGGGAGGCUGAGGCAGCAGAAUCACUUGAGCCUGGUAUGUGGAGGUUGCAGUGAGUUGAGAUCACUGCACUGCACUCCAACGUGGGUGACUGGAGUGAAACCCUAUUUUAAAAAAACAAAAACAAACUCCUUUUUCCAAUUACAUAUCUACGCAAGGCUGAAUUUUCUUCCUAUACUUGAACCUAAACAGUGUAUCACAAUAGAUUGAAUCAAGAAGUGACAUUAAGGCCAGCGCGGUGGCUCACGCCUGUAAUCCCACCACUUUGGGAGGCCGAGGCGGGCGGAUCACGAGAUCAGGAGAUCAAGACCAUCCUGGCUAACAUGGUGAAACCCCAUGUCUACUAAAAAUACAAAAAAUUAGCCGGGCAUGGUGGCGGGCGCCUGUAGUCCCAGCUACUCGGGAGGCUGAGGCAGGAGAAUGGCGUGAACCUGGGAGGUGAAGCCUGCAGUGAGCCAAGAUCAUGCCACCGUACUCCCGUACUCCAGCCUGGGCAACAGAGCAAGACUCCAUCUCAAAAAAAAAAAAAAAAGACAUUAAAGAGAUUUGCAAAAUUGCAGGGAAAUGGCAAUCUUUUGUUUUUGUUUUAGAAAAGUUAUUUUUAAUCUAAAAAAAUUGAUUAUUUUAAAUCAAUCUGCUUUAAUUUCUAAUAAGAAUAAAUACGUUUAGAUGUAACCCAGAGAAACACAGGCUCUUUGGGGUCUCUAACUUGUAGAAAAUGGAGUCCUGAAACCACUGUAAGUUAGAGAUAAUACCACAUCCUUCUCACAGUGGGUAUGAGAAGAUAAAGAGAUACUUGAAAUAACCACUUAGCAUAGUGCCUGGCAUACUGUACCAGCUUAAUAAAUUACAGCAAGGGCCAGGUAUGGUGGCUCAAACUCUUGUAAUCCCAGUGGUUUGGGGGCCCAAGAUGUGAGGAUCGCUUCAAGCUGCGAGAUCGAAACCAGCCUGAGCAACAAAGCAAGACCGUUGUUACUACAAAAAAUUUAAAAAUUAGCCAGGUGUGACUGCAUGUGCCUGUAGUCCCAGCUACCUGGGAAGCUGAAGCAGGAGGAUCACUUGAGUUCAGGAGUUUGAGAUUGCAGGAGCUAUGAUACAGCCACUGCACUCCAGCCUAAGUGACAGAGUGAGACCUGGUCUCUCUCAAAAAAAAAAAAAAAAAAAUAAGGCCAGGCACAGUGGCUCACGCCUGUAAUCCCACCACUUUGGGAGGCCAAGGUAGGCAGAUCACUUGAGCCCAGGAGUUUGAGACCAGCCUGGGCAACAUGGCAAAAGCCCGUCUCUACAAAAAAUUAAAAAAUUAGCCGGCUGUGGUGGUGCGUUCCUGUAGUCCCAGCUACCAGGGAGGCUGAGGUGGGAUGAUCACCUCAAUCCAGGAAGUUGAGGCUGCAGUGAGCUGAGAUUGUGCCACUGCACUCCAGCCUGGGCGUCAGAGUGAAACCCUGUCUCACAAAUAAAAUAUAAAUAAAUGAUAGCUAUGCUACUGCUAUGAGUACUACUAAUGUCGCCUUUUCUAUAAGUCUACCUUAUAACUAAUGAAUGUGCUUUUAGCAACUGAGUGGCUAAUGUGGUAUAAACAUGGGACAAUACCUGAUUUGUUAAAGGAAAAAAUGGUUUCAUUCCUCUCUACUUUGGUGGUCAGUCUACCAACUGAAAAGGCAAGGUGGGGGUAGGGGAAACCUGAACUAAGUCCUCACUACCAAGCCAGACCUAGGACUGGGUCCAUGUGGGGCCACUGUGUCUCAGGUGUUGAUAACAUAAACAGGCCAAGGGUGUCUCCAGGCAGUUUCUACUUAGCCCUAAAGCCCACUGUGAAGAGACAAAAGCAGAUUCUAUACAUCUACUAAGAGGGCCUGAUAGAAAAGAGAGUUGGAUAAUUCCCCUAAAAUCACACAGCUACUAGGCAAUGAAGCUGGUAUUGGCAUAUUUGAUUCCAAAGCCUGGGCUCUCCUAUUGCACUAGAAUGCCCUCAAGGAUAAUUUAGACGGCAACAGAUGCAGGUUUCAAGGAAUUGCAGAAAAUACUGAUUCCCAGGUACUUCUAGGGAAAAUAGGGUACCCUAGCAGCACGCAGUUUUCUUUGCAAAGAAAGACUGGUACAGAUGAUUCUUUCUGUUUGAGGACAUGGUGAUGGGACCAGGGACCUGGCUAGAAGAAGCAGGCAUACACACACAGUCUGCCAGCCAGACCUUAGAAACAUCCCCCCAUUCCAAACUGCCUGAGAAGCUCCUUGCAGAUAUUACCACUAUGUCCUCAGGAUAAAGAUUGUCGCUGAAGGAGCCAUCAUCAAAGUUGACUUCAUAGAAGGUCUCGGUGGUG
rnacentral:lncRNA from 1 species